rnacentral:rRNA from 1 species
CCUACGGGAGGCAGCAGUGGGGAAUCUUAGACAAUGGGCGCAAGCCUGAUCUAGCCAUGCCGCGUGAGUGAUGAAGGCCCUAGGGUCGUAAAGCUCUUUCGCCAGGGAUGAUAAUGACAGUACCUGGUAAAGAAACCCCGGCUAACUCCGUGCCAGCAGCCGCGGUAAU